CCCUUAGAUGUUCUGGGCCGCACGCGCGCUACACUGUUCGACGCAGCGAGUCUUAACCUUGACCGAAAGGUUUGGGUAAUCUUCAGCAAAGUCGAACGUGAUGGGGAUCGAUCAUUGCAAUUAUUGAUCGUGAACGAGGAAUUCCUAGUAAGUGCAAGUCAUCAGCUUGCGCUGAUUACGUCCCUGCCCUUUGUACACACCGCCCGUCGCUACUACCGAUUGAAUGGUUUAGUGAGAUCUCUGGAUUGACGCUGGCUAGGGGGCGACCCUUGGCCAGACUGCUCGAGAGACUGCUCAAACUUGAUCAUUUAGAGGAAGUAAAAGUCGUAACA
rnacentral:rRNA from 1 species